AUAGGCGUUAGAGGAGUGACC
rnacentral:miRNA from 1 species